rnacentral:rRNA from 1 species
GACGAACGCUGGCGGCGUGCCUAAUACAUGCAAGUUGAGCGAUGAAGAUUGGUGCUUGCACCAAUUUGAAGAGCAGCGAACGGGUGAGUGACGCGUGGGGAAUCUGCCUUUGAGCGGGGGACAACAUUUGGAAACGAAUGCUAAUACCGCAUAACAACUUUAAACAUAAGUUUUAAGUUUGAAAGAUGCAAUUGCAUCACUCAAAGAUGAUCCCGCGUUGUAUUAGCUAGUUGGUGAGGUAAAGGCUCACCAAGGCGAUGAUACAUAGCCGACCUGAGAGGGUGAUCGGCCACAUUGGGACUGAGACACGGCCCAAACUCCUACGGGAGGCAGCAGUAGGGAAUCUUCGGCAAUGGACGAAAGGCUGACCGAGCAACGCCGCGUGAGUGAAGAAGGUUUUCGGAUCGUAAAACUCUGUUGGUAGAGAAGAACGUUGGUGAGAGUGGAAAGCUCAUCAAGUGACGGUAACUACCCAGAAAGGGACGGCUAACUACGUG